rnacentral:misc_RNA from 1 species
GAUGAAGAACGUAGCGAAAUGCGAUAAGUAAUGCGAAUUGCAGAAUUCCGUGAGUCAUCGAAUCUUUGAACGCACAUUGCGCCCUUUGGCAUUCCGAAGGGCAUGCCUGUUCGAGCGUCAUUUAUCAACCCUCAAGCCCGGCUUGCGGUUGGGUCCCGCCGUGGGCGACCACGGCGGACCCGAAAGGUAAUGGCGGUGCCCGUGGGGCCCUGGACGCAGCGAGCUUCUCGGCACGCGUCCCGGCGGUCCCCGGCGCCGUCUCCACCAAUCCACCACGCAGAUUGACCUCGGAUCAGGUAGGGAUACCCGCUGAACUUAAGCAUAUCAAUAAGGGAGGA